AUACGUAGGGUGCAAGCGUUAAUCGGAAUUACUGGGCGUAAAGCGUGCGCAGGCGGUUCGGUAAGAAAGAGGUGAAAUCCCAGAGCUUAACGUUGGAACUGCAUUUUUAACUACCGGGCUAGAGUGUGUCAGAGGGAGGUGGAAUUCCGCGUGUAGCGGUGAAAUGCGUAGAGAUGUGGAGGAACACCGAUGGCGAAGGCAGCCUCCUGGGAUAACACUGACGCUCAUGCACGAAAGCGUGGGGAGCAAACAGGAUUAGAUAACCUGGUAGUCCGCGCCCUAAACGAUGUCAACUAGGUGUUGGGGCCAUGGGGCAUUGGUAGAGCAGCUAACGCGUGAAGUUGACCGCCUGGGGAGUACGGUCGCAAGAUUAA
rnacentral:rRNA from 1 species